GACGAACGCUGGCGGCGUGCUUAACACAUGCAAGUCGAACGAAGAUGCUCUUUGUGAAGCCCUCGGGUGGAACUGUGAGUAGACUGAGUGGCGGACGGGUGAGUAACGCGUGAGCAACCUGCCCUUCAGAGGGGGACAACAGCUGGAAACGGCUGCUAAUACCGCAUAAGACCACAGCACCGCAUGGUGCAGGGGUAAAAGGAUUUAUUCACUGAAGGAUGGGCUCGCGUCCCAUUAGAUAGUUGGUGAGGUAGAAGCUCACCAAGUCGACGAUGGGUAGCCGACCUGAGAGGGUGAUCGGCCACACUGGAACUGAGACACGGUCCAGACUCCUACGGGAGGCAGCAGUGGGGAAUAUUGGGCAAUGGGCGAAAGCCUGACCCAGCAACGCCGCGUGAAGGAAGAAGGCCUUCGGGUUGUAAACUUCUGUCCUGUGGGACGAAAAAAUGACGGUACCACAGGAGGAAGCCCCGGCUAACUACGUGCCAGCCGCCGCAGUAACAC
rnacentral:rRNA from 1 species